rnacentral:rRNA from 1 species
UACAGAGGGGGCAAGCGUUGUUCGGAAUUACUGGGCGUAAAGGGCGCGUAGGCGGCCUGUUAAGUCGAAUGUGAAAUCCCCGGGCUCAACCCGGGAACUGCGUCCGAUACUGGCAGGCUUGAAUCCGGGAGAGGGAUGCGGAAUUCCAGGUGUAGCGGUGAAAUGCGUAGAUAUCUGGAGGAACACCGGUGGCGAAGGCGGCAUCCUGGACCGGCAUUGACGCUGAGGCGCGAAAGCCAGGGGAGCAAACGGG